CGAAAAACAUUCUUUUACAAUUAAACCAAAUUUCAAACGAAGGUAAGUUAUAAUAUUCAUUAAUUUAUAAACAGAUUACUUUAAAAUAUACUAGAUGGUGUUCAUAAUUUGUUUUUCAGUUAAUGUUGUUACUAUUUUCACUGUAAAAAAGUUGUCGCUCUAGAUAUAGAAAUAUACCACAAGAUUGAACAGUAAUAAAGAUAAAAUCAUCAAUUUGUAUGCAAAUAAUUUAGGAUGUUUAAAUCGAUCUUCAAAAUAUGGUUAUGUAUGUUUAAGAACCUUUUCUGGUUGCCCCGAGAAACUGUUUCGCUUGAAUUUUGGUGUCAUACAACAAUCAAUUUUCGAUUGCAGCGUAAAACGUCGCUCGUAUGACGUCAAAGUUUUAUGGGAACUUUUGUGAUGUCCAGUAAUGGCGGACCAAUAGCGAUAAGGUGUAUGAAUGCGAUAAGCAGAAUAAAAAGAACUUAUCUACUACACGUUUCCAUUUUGUUUCCACAAAUAUACAUGUACUCAAUAGAAAUAAAAAGAUGUGGCAUGAGUGCCAAUGAGACAACUCUCCAUCCAAGUCACAGUGUGUAAAAAUAAAACAAAUAUAUGUCAAAAUAUGGCAUUCAGCAAGGAUCGAGUCUUGGCUCACACCGAACAGCAAUUUAUAUAGGGCACCAAAAUGACUAGUGUAAAAGAAUUCAAACUUAAGCUUACCUUUUAAGUCUUGCAUUAAUUGUUGUUAUAUGAGCACAAAGUGGAUCGCGAUUACCGUAGACUAGGCUUUAUUUGGUAAAGGAGCAAAGUUUCCAUUUGUUUCCACAAAGUAGACUCAUGCCUACCAUAGACUUGACCUGAUCUUAUAAUGUAGAUGCAACAUUUUGUGCCAGAUCCAUUGAGGAUUUUUAUAAGACAUAAAAACUUUUAACUUUAAAAAUUACAUUAUCGAAAGACUAUCCAUCUGAAUAUAAAGUUAUGUUUUUUUUCUCCGUUAUUUGGAGCAUUGAGGUAUAUCGUCGGUUUUAAGGGAAUUUCAUUACUUCAUAAACUUCAGAAAAAUUUAGAGCCUACCAUAUUUUAAAGACACCAGUAUAUAAAUAAAGACAAUGUGAUGUCUUUUCGAAAGUUUUUGUUUACUCUUGUCAUUUCGUUGCUGCCUCAUAACUUACAUGUUCGUUAAUGAUUAUGUAAAUCGAUAGAAUGUUACUCUUAAAAGCACUGUGAUAUACAUUUUAUUAUAAUCUUAGUCUGAUGUUUUGAUAUUCCAUAUAUUUGGUCUCCAAGUCCCUUUGGAUGUUAAUUAUACAAACACGUGUUUAUACAUGCAUGUUGGUCUUCAUUUAUUAGCUCCCACAACUUUAUGGUUUCUUUUGUAGUGUAUCGUUUCAUUGACAUUUUGAAAAUUAAAAAUUCUUUGACACUUUAUAAAUAACUAUUUAUUUUAUUUUUUUCACUUUAGAUGUCAUCAUGUAGCAUGUGUUACCUUGUCAUAUAUCUAGUUGUUCUCUUCAUUAACACUGGACAUGGGGCAUGUCACCACGAUCAGCGAGAGGACGUGUUCUGUGCCGAAAGCAACCAAAACUGCACUAUCAGUUUAGACCAAAUGAAUGUCGAAUGGGGAAAUUGUUUAAGUAUUGCUAUCGUCCAGGAUUGUAUCGAUGCACCACUAUGUCAGGGUAUCAUGCCGUGUAUACUUAACAUUACAGCAUUUGUAGCCCAGUUGGAUGCAUAGGAUACAUUUGUAAAUCAAUGAAAUGCAUUAUUAUUUAUUAAAUCUAAAA
rnacentral:lncRNA from 1 species